rnacentral:rRNA from 1 species
AAUCAACGCUGGCGGCGUGCCUCAGACAUGCAAGUCGAACGAUUAAAGCUCCCUUCGGGGAGUGCAUAAAGUGGCGCACGGGUGAGUAACACGUAAGUAAUCUACCUUCGAGUGGGGAAUAACGUUCGGAAACGAACGCUAAUACCGCAUAAUGCAGCGGCAUCUAUGAUGACAGUUGUUAAAGAUUUAUCGCUUGAAGAGGAGCUUGCGGCAGAUUAGCUAGUUGGUAAGGUAAUGGCUUACCAAGGCUACGAUCUGUAUCCGGUCUAAGAGGACGGUCGGACACACUGACACUGAAUAACGGGUCAGACUCCUACGGGAGGCAGCAGUCGGGAAUUUUGGGCAAUGGCGAAAGCCUGACCCAGCAACGCCGCGUGAAGGAUGAAGUUUUUCGGUAA